AUACAGGACUUUCUUAAGUCCACCUAUAAUUUACUGGUUUAUUUUA
rfam:Callithrix jacchus chromosome 1, whole genome shotgun sequence